GGGCGAGUGGCGGAACUGGCAGACGCGCUGGAUUUAGGAUCCAGUGGGUAACACCAUGGAGGUUCAAGUCCUCUCUCGCCCA
rnacentral:tRNA from 1 species